UGGGGAAUCUUGCGCAAUGGGCGAAAGCCUGACGCAGCAACGCCGCGUGGAGGAUGAAGGCCCUUGGGUUGUAAACUCCUGUCGGCUGGGAAGAAGUUGUUCGCGACUAAUACUCGCGGACAUUGACUGUACCAGCAAAGGAAGCCCCGGCUAACUCUGUGCCAGCAGCCGCGGUAAUACAGAGGGGGCCAGCGUUAUUCGGAAUUAUUGGGCGUAAAGGGCGCGUAGGCGGCCAUGCGUGUCUUCCGUGAAAUCCCUCGGCUCAACCGAGGACGUGCGGAAGAAACUGCAAGGCUCGAGUCCGGAAGAGGGGGGCGGAAUUCCCAGUGUAGCGGUGAAAUGCGUAGAUAUUGGGAGGAACACCAGUGGCGAAGGCGGUCCCCUGGGCCGGAACUGACGCUGAGGCGCGAAAGCGUGGGUAGCAAACGG
rnacentral:rRNA from 1 species